CUCGCAUCGAUGAAGAACGCAGCGAAAUGCGAUAAGUAAUGUGAAUUGCAGAAUUCAGUGAAUCAUCGAAUCUUUGAACGCACCUUGCGCUCCUUGGUAUUCCGAGGAGCAUGCCUGUUUGAGUGUCAUGAAAACCCUCAACCCUAGAUUGGUU
rnacentral:rRNA from 1 species